GUCCCCAUCUGCUUGACUCCUCACAUGCGCCGUCGCCGCCAUCCACUUCCGCGCCGCCGCAGUCGCCAUUCGCGGCACCGCCGCCGGUCGCUUGCGGAUCCACCACUCUUGUUGCCAGCGGAUCUGGAGGCUUCUUGUCUCAUCCCCCUCUCGUCGCCGUCGAGUCUUCAAACCCCAAUCGCAAGAACAGCAUUGAAUCAACGACAAGGGCAGCUGCGACGGUGUGCGCCUAAGUGGGAGAAGAACCUCGGGAAGAUUAUCAUGCCGGACUACUGGAAGGAAGGCCCCAGCGACACAAACGAGAGCUGCAGCUACAAACAAGGUUCUCUCCGAGAAUAACAGGUCAGCUCUCAGAACGACCAAUAGCUCUCAGAAUAAUAGUGUACAUCUGCAUGUGCAAUGGUCGCCGGAAUUCUGAAUUGAAACGUUAGGAACUGCUUGAACUUAUCUUCAUGUAUACGAUUGUGUGGUAUAUCAGAAGGGACAAUCGAUGUUACUCAUCAAAGGCAUAAACUUCUCACGGGGAAGAUAUAAGUGUUAGAGAUAUUAAAAAUCGCCUCGAGUUAUCAUGUAUUCUUGAGAUUUUUGCA